AACACGGCAGGGGAUGGCAGUGCCCAGAACACGGGGAUGGCAGUGCCCAGAACACGGGGAUGGCAGUGCCCAGAACACGGGGGUGGCAGAGCCCAGAACACGGGGGUGGCAGAGCCCAGAACACGGAGAUGGCAGUGCCCAGAACACGGCAGGGGAUGGCAGUGCCCAGAACACGGGGGUGGCAGUGCCCAGAACACGGGGGUGGCAGUGCCCAGAACACGGCAGGGGAUGGCAGUGCCCAGAACACGGGGGUGGCAGAGCACAGAACACGGGGAUGGCAGUGCCCAGAACACGGGGGUGGCAGAGCCCAGAACACGGCAGGGGAUGGCAGAGCCCAGAACACGGGGGUGGCAGUGUCCAGAACACGGCAGGGGAUGGCAGUGCCCAGAACACGGGGGUGGCAGUGCCCAGAACACGGCAGGGGAUGGCAGUGCCCAGAACACGGCAGGGGGUGGCAGAGCCCAGAACACGGCAGGGGAUGGCAGUGCCCAGAACACGGGAGUGGCAGUGCCCAGAACACGGCAGGGGAUGGCAGUGCCCAGAACACGGGAGUGGCAGUGCCCCGCACACGGCGGGGACUGUGUCCUGUACACGGGGGUGCUGGGCCCCCACUGGGCUGUAUCGCCCCCCCCGCCCCUCUGCACAUACCGGGUGCUGCACCCCUGUCUGCUGCACCGCCUCUGUCCCCAUUUAUUCCCCUGCACACACCGGAGUGCAACCCCUCCCCGGCAGUGCUGUACACCCGGAACCCUCCUGCACACCCUGAGGGGGUUCCCGCCUCUAUCCUCCAUCUCCUAUGGGAUGCUGACCCCCCCCAUUCCAUCUUCCCUGUGAGGUGCUGCCAGCCACGUCCCAUUUUCCCUAACCCUCCCGGGGCGCUGUGUCCCCCCCCCCCCCCCCCCCGCACACAGUGCGUUGCUGUCGCACCUGAA